rnacentral:rRNA from 1 species
AUUGAACGCUGGCGGCAUGCCUUACACAUGCAAGUCGAACGGCAGCACGGGAGCAAUCCUGGUGGCGAGUGGCGAACGGGUGAGUAAAGUAUCGGAACGUGCCCAGUCGUGGGGGAUAACGUAGCGAAAGUUACGCUAAUACCGCAUACGAUCUAUGGAUGAAAGCGGGGGAUCGCAAGACCUCGCGCGAUUGGAGCGGCCGACAUCAGAUUAGGUAGUUGGUGGGGUAAAGGCUCACCAAGCCGACGAUCUGUAGCUGGUCUGAGAGGACGACCAGCCACACUGGGACUGAGACACGGCCCAGACUCCUACGGGAGGCAGCAGUGGGGAAUUUUGGACAAUGGGCGAAAGCCUGAUCCAGCCAUGCCGCGUGCAGGAUGAAGGCCUCCGGGUUGUAAACUGCUUUUGUACGGAACGAAAAGGUUUGGCCUAAUAAGCUGAGCUCAUGACGGUACCGUAAGAAUAAGCACCGGCUAACUACGUGCCAGCCGCCGCAGUAA